CAAGGUAACUGUACGAAGACACUAGUGAACACCAGGUCAAGGUAACUGUACGAAGACACUAGUGAACACCAGGUCAAGGUAACUGUACAAAGACACUAGUGAACACCAGGUCAAGGUAACUGUACGAAGACACUAGUGAACACCAGGUCAAGGUAACUGUACAAAGACACUAGUGAACACCAGGUCAAGGUAACUGUACAAAGACACAGUCAACACCAGGUCAAGGUAACUGUACGAAGACACUAGUGAACACCAGGUCAAGGUAACUGUACGAAGACACUAGUGAACACCAGGUCAAGGUAACUGUACGAAGACACUAGUGAACACCAGGUCAAGGUAACUGUACGAAGACACUAGUGAACACCAGGUCAAGGUAACUGUACGAAGACACUAGUGAACACCAGGUCAAGGUAACUGUACGAAGACACUAGUGAACACCAGGUCAAGGUAACUGUACAAAGACACUAGUGAACACCAGGUCAAGGUAACUGUACAAAGACACAGUCAACACCAGGUCAAGGUAACUGUACGAAGACACUAGUGAACACCAGGUCAAGGUAACUGUACGAAGACACUAGUGAACACCAGGUCAAGGUAACUGUACGAAGACACUAGUGAACACCAGGUCAAGGUAACUGU